rnacentral:rRNA from 1 species
AUACGUAGGUGACAAGCGUUAUCCGGAUUUACUGGGCGUAAAGGGCGUGUAGGCGGUCUUGCAAGUCAGAAGUGAAAUUCCUGAGCUCAACUCGGGCGCUGCUUCUGAAACUGCAGGACUUGAGUGCUGGAGGGGUAGCGGAAUUCCUAGUGGAGCGGUAAAAUGCGCAUAUAUUAGGGAGAACACCGGUGGCGAUCGCGGCUUUCUGGACACUACCUGUCGCUGAGGCACUAAAUCUCGGGGAGCGAACGGGAUUUGAUACCCUGGGAGUCCACGCUGUAAACGAUGAAUUCUAGGUGUAGGGGGUAUCGACGCCCUCUGUGCCGCAGGUUACACAAUAAGUAUUCCGCCUGGGGAGUACGGCCGCAAGGUUGAAACUCAAACGAAUUGACGGGG